rnacentral:rRNA from 1 species
AUUGAACGCUGGCGGCAGGCUUAACACAUGCAAGUCGAGCGGAUGAAGGGAGCUUGCUUCUGGAUUCAGCGGCGGACGGGUGAGUAAUGCCUAGGAAUCUGCCUGGUAGUGGGGGAUAACGUCCGGAAACGGGCGCUAAUACUGCAUACGUCCUGAGGGAGAAAGUGGGGGAUCUUCGGAACUCAAGCUAUCAGAUGAGUCUAGGUCGGAUUGGCUAGUUGGUGGGGUAAUGGCCUACUAAGGCGACGAUCCGUAACUGGUCUGAGAGGAUGAUCAGUCACACGGGAGCGUGAACGCGCUCCAGGCGACUGCGGUACGGACCAGUCGGGAAUAUUAGGCAAUAGGCGAAAACCUUGUCCAGCCGGGCCGCGUGUGAGGAAGAAAUCUUCGGAUUGGAAAGCACGUUUACGUGGGGUAAAGCGCAGUAAGUUAAUACCUUGCUGUUUUGACGUUACCAGCAGAAUAAGCACCGGCUAACUACGUG